UUCCUUUAUAUUCUUAGGUUCUACCUGUGACACAAAAGCAACAGUUAAACAAAAAUUAUUUAGAUUGUGUCUAGUAGUUACCCCUUUUGAUAUAUCUCCUAUGAUGUUGUCCAAAGAUAGUCCUCUUGGUUGUUGAUAGCUUUUGGAAUCAACAACUUAGGGUGUUUCUCGAAGUUCCGGAGGAUAAUUUUCAUUUAGAUACAUCUCUUCAAGAGGUUCUCUUA
rnacentral:lncRNA from 1 species